GAUGAACGCUGGCGGCGUGCCUAAUACAUGCAAGUCGAGCGAACAGACGAGGAGCUUGCUCCUUUGACGUUAGCGGCGGACGGGUGAGUAACACGUAGGUAACCUACCUAUAAGACUGGGAUAACUUCGGGAAACCGGAGCUAAUACCGGAUAAUAUUUCGAACCGCAUGGUUCGAUAGUGAAAGAUGGCUUUGCUAUCACUUAUAGAUGGACCUGCGCCGUAUUAGCUAGUUGGUAAGGUAACGGCUUACCAAGGCAACGAUACGUAGCCGACCGGAGAGGGGUAUCGGCCACACUGGACCUGGGACACGGUCCAGACUCCUACGGGAGGAAGCAGUAGGGAAUCUUCCGCAAUGGGCGCAAGCCUGACGGAGCAACGCCGCGUGAGUGAUGAAGGUCUUCGGAUCGUAAAACUCUGUUAUUAGGGAAGAACAAACGUGUAAGUAACUGUGCACGUCUUGACGGUACCUAAUCAGAAAGCCACGGCUAACUACGUGCCAGCCGCCGCCGUAA
rnacentral:rRNA from 1 species